rnacentral:rRNA from 1 species
CAGCCGCCGCGGGAAUACGUAGGUCCCGAGCGUUUGUCCGGAUUUAUUGGGCGUAAAGCGUGCGCAGGCGGUUCGUUAAGACAGAUGUGAAAUCCCCGGGCUUAACCUGGGAACUGCAUUUGUGACUGGCGGGCUAGAGUAUGGCAGAGGGGGGUAGAAUUCCACGUGUAGCAGUGAAAUGCGUAGAGAUGUGGAGGAAUACCGAUGGCGAAGGCAGCCCCCUGGGCCAAUACUGACGCUCAUGCACGAAAGCGUGGGGAGCAAACAGGAUUAGAUACCCCAGUAGUCCCUGUCUCUUAUA